rnacentral:rRNA from 1 species
UACGAAGGGGGCUAGCGUUGCUCGGAAUCACUGGGCGUAAAGGGCGCGUAGGCGGCCAUUCAAGUCGGGGGUGAAAGCCUGUGGCUCAACCACAGAAUUGCCUUCGAUACUGUUUGGCUUGAGUUUGGUAGAGGUUGGUGGAACUGCGAGUGUAGAGGUGAAAUUCGUAGAUAUUCGCAAGAACACCAGUGGCGAAGGCGGCCAACUGGACCAAUAC